rnacentral:tRNA from 1 species
GUUUCUGUAGUUGAAUAACAACGGUGGUUUUUCAAGUCAUUGGUCCUGGUUAGAAUCCGGGUGGAAAUU